rnacentral:rRNA from 1 species
UACGUAGAGUGCAAGCGUUGUCCGGAAUUACUGGGCGUAAAGCGUUCGCAGGCGGUCUUUUAAGUCAGAUGUGAAAUCCCCGGGCUUAACCUGGGAACUGCGGUUGAAACUGGAAGGCUUGAGUGUGGCAGAGGGGGGUGGAAUUCCACGUGUAGCAGUGAAAUGCGUAGAGAUGUGGAGGAACACCGAUGGCGAAGGCAGCCCCCUGGGCUAACACUGACGCUCAUGCACGAAAGCGUGGGGAGCAAACAGG